rnacentral:tRNA from 1 species
GGUGGGUUGGCUCAGUGGUUAGAGCGCAGGUCUCAUAACCGAAAGGUCGCGGGAUCGAAUCCCGCUAGAGGCUG